rnacentral:rRNA from 1 species
AAAGCGUGCGCAGGCGGCUUUGCAAGACAGAGGUGAAAUCCCCGGGCUCAACCUGGGAACUGCCUUUGUGACUGCAAGGCUAGAGUACGGCAGAGGGAGAUGGAAUUCCGCGUGUAGCAGUGAAAUGCGUAGAUAUGCGGAGGAACACCGAUGGCGAAGGCAAUCUCCUGGGCCUGUACUGACGCUCAUGCACGAAAGCGUGGGGAGCAAACAGGAUUAGAUACCCUAGU